UAGUUGCAGGGAAACAAGUCCAGGGUUCCAACUGCUUCUGCAUUAGGGUGAGUUGAUAUUCUACUGUAGAAUCAUUGGAAUUGUCUGAUAUACAGUGUAAGUGUUUCAGAUCACAUGUCCUGAACUGACAAAGGUCUUUGUUUUUGGAACCCCCGCACCUCUACCCGGUCCAUGGAAAAUUUUAAUGCAUGAAACCGGUCCGUAGUACAAAAAAGGUAGGGGACCACUGUUGGAAACCAUCCUUU